rnacentral:rRNA from 1 species
CUANCAGUGCUUCNNANGUUAGCUCGCANAAANAANGCCCCGNGCUUANUUNCCNUGGCCUGCANCCGNCGGUNAUAUGGAGGGUNCAAGCNGUUAAUNCGGAAUUACNNGGGCGUAAAGCGCNCGCAGGUCGGUUGAANUAAGUCAGAUGGGAAAUCCCCGAGCUUAACUUGGGAACUGCAUUUGAAACUGGUCAGCUAGAGUCUUGUAGAGGGGGGUAGAAUUCCAGGUGUAGCGGUGAAAUGCGUAGAGAUCUGGAGGAAUACCGGUGGCGAAGGCGGCCCCCUGGACAAAGACUGACGCUCAGGUGCGAAAGCGUGGGGAGCAAACAGGAUUAGAUACCCUGGUAGUCCACGCUGUAAACGAUGUCGACUUGGAGGUUGUGCCCUUGAGGCGUGGCUUCCGGAGCUAACGCGUUAAGUCGACCGCCUGGGGAGUACGGCCGCAAGGUUAAAACUCAAAUGAAUUGACGGGGGCCCGCACAAGCGGUGGAGCAUGUGGUUUAAUUCGAUGCAACGCGAAGAACCUUACCUACUCUUGACAUCCAGAGAAUUUNNNAGAGAUANNUUAGUGCCUUCGGGAACUCUGAGACAGGUGCUGCAUGGCUGUCGUCAGCUCGNGUU